UUAAGGGAGUUCGCUUCUCAGUUUCAAAGUAAUUAACUUUUCAAAACACUAGUUUAUAUAGAUAGGGGUUAUUAAAGGAAUCCAAAGAGCAAAACAAAUAUAUAGGUCGCCGUGCUUGUUUUCGAGAUAUAUGCCAUUGAAAUUUUGGCGGGAAAAUAUUCUCUCUUGACUUUUCCUAGCUUUAUCAUUGACAAGUUGAAGUUCUCAAAAACUGUUAAAAAGUAAUUAAAAUUUUAUAAGACUUUUACAGAUUGCUUAUCAUUAUACAUGUAAAAGAUUUAUAAAAAGAAAAAUGGGGGUCACCGGGCAAAUUUUUUCCAGGCAUUCAAAUGGAUAAAACCAGAGGAUUCCGAAAAUCUGUCAAAAAAA
rnacentral:lncRNA from 1 species